rnacentral:snRNA from 1 species
AUACUUACCUGGCAUAGAAGUUAACCGUGAUCAAUAAGGCGGUUCUUCCAGGGCGAGGCCUUUCCAUUGCACUUCGGAUGGGCUGACCUCUGCGAGUAUCCCAAAUGUGGAUACCUCGGAUGUAUAAUUUUUGAUAGUCGGGACUGCGUUCGCGCUGUCCCGG